UCCUACGGGGGGCAGCAGUGGGGAAUAUUGCACAAUGGGGGAAACCCUGAUGCAGCGACGCCGCGUGAGUGAAGAAGUAUUUCGGUAUGUAAAGCUCUAUCAGCAGGGAAGAUAAUGACGGUACCUGACUAAGAAGCCCCGGCUAACUACGUGCCAGCAGCCGCGGUAAUACGUAGGGGGCAAGCGUUAUCCGGAUUUACUGGGUGUAAAGGGAGCGUAGGUGGCAGGGCAAGUCAGAUGUGAAAGGCCGGGGCUCAACCCCGGGACUGCUCUGGAAACUAUUUAACUUGAGUGCAGGAGAGGUA
rnacentral:rRNA from 1 species